GAUGAACGCUAGCGGCAGGCUUAAUACAUGCAAGUCGUGGGGCAGCAGGGGUGUAGCAGUACAUCUGCUGGCGACCGGCAAACGGGUGCGUAACACGUACGCAACCUUCCCGUUAUUGUGGCAUAGCCCAGGGAAACUUGGAUUAAUACCACAUAUUAUAUAGAGAGGGCAUCCUUUUUAUAUCAAAGCUUCGGCGGUAACGGAUGGGCGUGCGGUUGAUUAGGUAGUUGGCGGGGUAACGGCCCACCAAGCCUACGAACAAUAGCUGAUGUGAGAGCAUGAUCAGCCACACGGGCACUGAGACACGGGCCCGACUCCUACGGGAGGCAGCAGUAAGGAAUAUUGGGCAAUGGACGAAAGUCUGACCCAGCCAUGCCGCGUGAAGGAUUAAGGUCCUCUGGAUUGUAAACUUCUUUUCUCUGGGGCGAAAACCAGCUAUUCUUAGCUAUUUGACAGUACCAGAGGAAUAAGCACCGGCUAACUCCGUGCCAGCCGCCGCCGUAACAC
rnacentral:rRNA from 1 species